GACGAACGCUGGCGGCGUGCCUAACACAUGCAAGUCGAACGGGGUAAUUACUUCGGUGAUUACUUAGUGGCGAACGGGUGAGUAACGCGUGAGAAACCUGCCUUUCAGUGGGGGACAACAGUUGGAAACGACUGCUAAUACCGCAUAAUGUUAUUUGAGGGCAUCCUCGAAUAACCAAAGCUUAAUGUGCUGAAAGAUGGUCUCGCGUCUGAUUAGCUAGAUGGCGGGGUAACGGCUCACCAUGGCGACGAUCAGUAGCCGGUCUGAGAGGAUGAACGGCCACAUUGGGACUGAGUUACGGCCCAGACUUCUACGGGAGGCAGCAGUGGGGAAUAUUGGGCAAUGGGGGAAACCCUGACCCAGCAACGCCGCGUGAAGGAAGAAGGCCUUCGGGUUGUAAACUUCUUUUACCAGGGACGAAGAACGUGACGGUACCUGGAGAAAAAGCAACUGCUAACUACGUGCCAGCCGCCGCAGUAAUAC
rnacentral:rRNA from 1 species